rnacentral:rRNA from 1 species
UACAGAGGGUGCUAGCGUUGUUCGGAAUCAUUGGGCGUAAAGGGCGUGUAGGCGGUUUGUUAAGUCAUGUGUGAAAUCCCUCGGCUCAACCGGGGAAGGACGCAUGAAACUGGCAAGCUAGAGUACCAAAGAGGGGGGUGGAAUUCCCGGUGUAGCGGUGAAAUGCGCAGAUAUCAGGAGGAACACCGGUGGCGAAGGCGGGUCUCUGGGCAACAACUGACGCUGAGGAGCGAAAGCGUGGGGAGCGAACAGG